rnacentral:rRNA from 1 species
UACGAAGGGGGCUAGCGUUGCUCGGAUUUACUGGGCGUAAAGGGCGCGUAAGCGGACAGUUUAGUCAGAGGUGAAAGCCCAGGGCUCAACCUUGGAAUUGCCUUUGAUACUGGCUGUCUUGAGUACGGGAGAGGUGAGUGGAACUCCGAGUGUAGAGGUGAAAUUCGUAGAUAUUCGGAAGAACACCAGUGGCGAAGGCGACUCACUGGCCCGUUACUGACGCUGAGGCGCGAAAGCGUGGGGAGCAAACAGG